AGCGUACACGGUGGAUGCCCUGGCAGUCAGAGGCGAUGAAGGACGUGCUAAUCUGCGAAAAGCGUCGGUAAGGUGAUAUGAACCGUUAUAACCGGCGAUGUCCGAAUGGGGAAACCCAGUGCAAUUCGUUGCACUAUCGUUAACUGAAUACAUAGGUUAACGAGGCGAACCGGGGGAACUGAAACAUCUAAGUACCCCGAGGAAAAGAAAUCAACCGAGAUUCCCCCAGUAGCGGCGAGCGAACGGGGAGCAGCCCAGAGUCUGAAUCAGCUUGUGUGUUAGUGGAACGGUCUGGAAAGUCCGACGGUACAGGGUGAUAGUCCCGUACACCAAAAUGCACAGGCUGUGAACUCGAAGAGUAGGGCGGGACACGUGGUAUCCUGUCUGAAUAUGGGGGGACCAUCCUCCAAGGCUAAAUACUCCUGACUGACCGAUAGUGAACCAGUACCGUGAGGGAAAGGCGAAAAGAACCCCGGCGAGGGGAGUGAAAAAGAACCUGAAACCGUGUACGUACAAGCAGUGGGAGCACCUUCGGGUGUGACUGCGUACCUUUUGUAUAAUGGGUCAGCGACUUAUAUUCUGUAGCAAGGUUAACCGUAUAGGGGAGCCGCAGGGAAACCGAGUCUUAACUGGGCGUUAAGUUGCAGGGUAUAGACCCGAAACCCGGUGAUCUAGCCAUGGGCAGGUUGAAGGUUGGGUAACACUAACUGGAGGACCGAACCGACUAAUGUUGAAAAAUUAGCGGAUGACUUGUGGCUGGGGGUGAAAGGCCAAUCAAACCGGGAGAUAGCUGGUUCUCCCCGAAAGCUAUUUAGGUAGCGCCUCGUGAAUUCAUCUUCGGGGGUAGAGCACUGUUUCGGCUAGGGGGUCAUCCCGACUUACCAACCCGAUGCAAACUACGAAUACCGAAGAAUGUUAUCACGGGAGACACACGGCGGGUGCUAACGUCCGUCGUGAAGAGGGAAACAACCCAGACCGCCAGCUAAGGUCCCAAAGUCAUGGUUAAGUGGGAAACGAUGUGGGAAGGCACAGACAGCCAGGAUGUUGGCUUAGAAGCAGCCAUCAUUUAAAGAAAGCGUAAUAGCUCACUGGUCGAGUCGGCCUGCGCGGAAGAUGUAACGGGGCUAAACCAUGCACCGAAGCUGCGGCAGCGACACUAUGUGUUGUUGGGUAGGGGAGCGUUCUGUAAGCCUGCGAAGGUGUGCUGUGAGGCAUGCUGGAGGUAUCAGAAGUGCGAAUGCUGACAUAAGUAACGAUAAAGCGGGUGAAAAGCCCGCUCGCCGGAAGACCAAGGGUUCCUGUCCAACGUUAAUCGGGGCAGGGUGAGUCGACCCCUAAGGCGAGGCCGAAAGGCGUAGUCGAUGGGAAACAGGUUAAUAUUCCUGUACUUGGUGUUACUGCGAAGGGGGGACGGAGAAGGCUAUGUUAGCCGGGCGACGGUUGUCCCGGUUUAAGCAUGUAGGCUGAUUAUCCAGGCAAAUCCGGAUAAUCAAGGCUGAGGUGUGAUGACGAGGCACUACGGUGCUGAAGUAACAAAUGCCCUGCUUCCAGGAAAAGCCUCUAAGCAUCAGGUAACAUCAAAUCGUACCCCAAACCGACACAGGUGGUCAGGUAGAGAAUACCAAGGCGCUUGAGAGAACUCGGGUGAAGGAACUAGGCAAAAUGGUGCCGUAACUUCGGGAGAAGGCACGCUGGUGUGUAGGUGAAGCCCCUGCGGGUGGAGCUGAGACCAGUCGAAGAUACCAGCUGGCUGCAACUGUUUAUUAAAAACACAGCACUGUGCAAACACGAAAGUGGACGUAUACGGUGUGACGCCUGCCCGGUGCCGGAAGGUUAAUUGAUGGGGUUAUCCGUAAGGAGAAGCUCUUGAUCGAAGCCCCGGUAAACGGCGGCCGUAACUAUAACGGUCCUAAGGUAGCGAAAUUCCUUGUCGGGUAAGUUCCGACCUGCACGAAUGGCGUAAUGAUGGCCAGGCUGUCUCCACCCGAGACUCAGUGAAAUUGAACUCGCUGUGAAGAUGCAGUGUACCCGCGGCAAGACGGAAAGACCCCGUGAACCUUUACUAUAGCUUGACACUGAACAUUGAGCCUUGAUGUGUAGGAUAGGUGGGAGGCUUUGAAGCGUGGACGCCAGUCUGCGUGGAGCCAACCUUGAAAUACCACCCUUUAAUGUUUGAUGUUCUAACGUUGGCCCCUGACCGGGGUUGCGGACAGUGUCUGGUGGGUAGUUUGACUGGGGCGGUCUCCUCCCAAAGCGUAACGGAGGAGCACGAAGGUUAGCUAAUCCUGGUCGGACAUCAGGAGGUUAGUGCAAUGGCAUAAGCUAGCUUGACUGCGAGCGUGACGGCGCGAGCAGGUGCGAAAGCAGGUCAUAGUGAUCCGGUGGUUCUGAAUGGAAGGGCCAUCGCUCAACGGAUAAAAGGUACUCCGGGGAUAACAGGCUGAUACCGCCCAAGAGUUCAUAUCGACGGCGGUGUUUGGCACCUCGAUGUCGGCUCAUCACAUCCUGGGGCUGAAGUAGGUCCCAAGGGUAUGGCUGUUCGCCAUUUAAAGUGGUACGCGAGCUGGGUUUAGAACGUCGUGAGACAGUUCGGUCCCUAUCUGCCGUGGGCGCUGGAGAAUUGAGGGGGGCUGCUCCUAGUACGAGAGGACCGGAGUGGACGCAUCACUGGUGUUCGGGUUGUCAUGCCAAUGGCACUGCCCGGUAGCUAAAUGCGGAAGAGAUAAGUGCUGAAAGCAUCUAAGCACGAAACUUGCCCCGAGAUGAGUUCU
rnacentral:rRNA from 1 species